rnacentral:tRNA from 1 species
GGGCAAUUAGCUCAGCGGGAGAGCACUCCCCUCACACGGGAGGGGUCGCAGGUUCAAACCCUGCAUUGCCCACCA